rnacentral:rRNA from 1 species
AUUGAACGCUGGCGGCAGGCUUAACACAUGCAAGUCGAGCGGGGUGAUGGUGCUUGCACUAUCACUUAGCGGCGGACGGGUGAGUAAUGCUUAGGAAUCUGCCUAUUAGUGGGGGACAACAUCUCGAAAGGGAUGCUAAUACCGCAUACGUCCUACGGGAGAAAGAAGGGGAUCACUUGUGACCUUGCGCUAAUAGAUGAGCCUAAGUCGGAUUAGCUAGUUGGUGGGGUAAAGGCCUACCAAGGCGACGAUCUGUAGCGGGUCUGAGAGGAUGAUCCGCCACACUGGGACUGAGACACGGCCCAGACUCCUACGGGAGGCAGCAGUGGGGAAUAUUGGACAAUGGGGGGAACCCUGAUCCAGCCAUGCCGCGUGUGUGAAGAAGGCCUUAUGGUUGUAAAGCACUUUAAGCGAGGAGGAGGCUCUUUUGGUUAAUACCCAAGAUGAGUGGACGUUACUCGCAGAAUAAGCACCGGCUAACUCUGUGCCAGCAGCCGCAGUAA